rnacentral:lncRNA from 1 species
GUCGAUUCGGCUAAUUUUCGUUACUUGGAGAGAUAGGCUCAGUGCUCUAGUGAUCUUACUUUUACAUGUAAACAGUCUACUAUUGGGACCUUGCAACAUUAAAAACCUAAAGCAUUGGAGUCUAGUGAGAAAAGGAAGUAGAUAAGGUUAGAUUUGGUGCUAUGUCUGCCAAUACUUCUACUGAUCAACAUUCAGAACUUGCUCUUUUAAGUUUUUCUGCGUGAGUCAAAAAAUACGCUUUCUCUUGUAGUAAUUCAAUUUUGAUUUAACUUAUUUUCUUUCUUGGGGAAAAUAGGCUUAAUGCUCUGAUGAUCUCUUGGACAUUUACAUGUAAACAAUCUACUGUUAGACCUUGCAACAUUCAGAAAACUAUUGCAUUGGAGACUAGUGGAGCAAAGCAAAUGGAUAAGGUUAGAUUUGGUGUUGUGUCUACCAAAUACUUAUUCUACUAUUUGACAUUCAUAACUGGCUUAUUUAUGUCGAUGUGCAUGAGUCAAGAAAGCAAUUUCUCUUGUAGUAAUUCAAUUUUGAUUCAACUUGUUUUCUUUCCUUAGAGAGAUAGGCUCAGUGCUUUGAUGAUCUCUUGUACUUUUACAUGUAAACAGGCGAAUGGUAGACCAUCUUGCAACUUUCAUAAAACUACUGGAUUGGAGACUAUUGGAGCAAAGCUUGGACAAGGUUAGAUUUGAUAUUCUAUUGGUGAUUACCACUCAGGUCCAACUUUGAUAAAAUUAUGUCAUAUGUUGCCUAUUUUAAUACCUCAACCCGAAU